CUCAAUGGUGGGCCGGACGGGGGCGUCGCGAGACGCGCCGGUGUCAGUGAGGCCGGUAAGGUCAACCUCGUCCGGUUCCACCGCCAAU
rfam:Klebsiella pneumoniae IS43, WGS project CBWK01000000 data, contig: c23